CAGAGCCAGUCGGAGAGAGUGAGAGAUUGAGCGGCCUGGCCGGGAGGACUGCGGGAACCAGGCUGUAAAACCUGAUAACCAAGCCUGACAGAAGAGGCCAGAGCAGAACCAGUGGGAUGUCAGCGAGCCCGCAGCCUCUGCUGGGAGUGAAGCCUGGGUUUUCACACACAGACUGGGAUUUCUCUAUUGCGGCUGCGUGAGAACCUUCGGGGCGCCCCUCCCACUCAGCAGUGUCCUGGAAGCUUCUGGGUGACUGAGGGUCACUUUAUCUGCACAGUCUUGUUCUGACUUCUGGAAACCACAGGCCCGUCCGCUCUGAGGUUCUGCUCAUGACUAGGUCCUGUCUACUCUGUCUCUGAGGUGCUUGGUGCUACUGGCGGGGACCCUCUCGGAGCAGUUUCACUUCCCUUCAUGAGAAGGACGACCUCUUCAUUCAGAGGGGGAAGCUGGGGCCCUGGCAACCCGCUCAGCUUCACAUAAAACCACGGCUGCUCCCUCUGCGGCCCAACGCUCAGUGCUGUUCCGGGGCCUGCCCUACGGCUCUGGGGGGCCAUGCGGUCACUCCCACAGCUAGCCAGACCACGCCGGGUGCCUCAGGUGCCUCCAAGGACGGCCACAAUCUGGCUCCUCCUCAGGACUUCACCCUCACCUUUCUGUCACCCUCGCCAUCUCCCCGGCACGCCAGGCUCUCACUCUCUCAGACAAGACCUCAGGCCCUCAUCAGCCUCAGAGCCUCUACUUCUGAAAGCCUCUCCACCUUCCCAACCCUCCCCAUUUCUCCAAGUCCAUCUUGAGUCCCACCUCCUUCAUGAAGCCAUUCCAAAACCCAAGGCCUGCGUGGUGUGGUAAUGCAAAGACCGAAUCUCAGCCUCUUUUUUUUUUUUUUGCAGUCUGAACUAAGGGGAAGUUACUUCUUAAACUUUCCACUUUUUUGCCUUAUAGUAUACUUAUCUUCUUGGGUUGCUGUGAGAAUUUUAAAAAGUAGUAUGUGGAAAGCACCUAGCAUUAGGUCUAGCAAAUGGUUGAUAGUGAUUAUUACUAAAAACUACAGCGUUCACUGUCUAUACAUAAAUAUUCAUAUCACCGCUCAUGCAUGGUGAUUCUUGAAUAUACUCAGCACGGUGCUCCGUCACAUACAUGGGAGUCACACACCAUGGGGGGUUAGAGUCGCUAAAGUCAACAUGUAAGACAAAAAUAGAAUAUAGUCAAAAUUACUCUUAAAAAUCCCUUAACUUGCUCACCAAAUAGAUUACACAUGCUUUUGUAUAAACCAUCCUUAUAUCUGAAAGCAUAAUGUACACAGUGAAGUAGACAAAAUACAAUGGUUACAAUUUCAGACUACAAGUAAUAUAGUUUCCUACACAACCACAUACAGGUAUCCUCUGCUUUUUCAAAGUUUGCUUUAUGCCACUUAGCUUUACAGAAGACCUACAUUAGUACCUGCUUCCGACAAGCAAAAGAAAUCUGAAGAAGUGGUUUGCUUUUACGGAAAAAAAAAAAAAAA